UACAACAACUAUGACCGGGCUAUCAUCAAUACCGUACCUUAUGAUGUUGUCCAUCAUUGGUAUAUAGCACAUCGGACUCUAACAAUAGAGUUGAGGAGACCUGAGAAUGAGUUUUGACUCAAACUAAGGCCUGGCAAGGUCCUAUUCAUAGACAACUGGCGUGCCCUACACGGAAGGGAAUGCUUCAUUGGCUACCACCAACUCUGUGGCUGCUAUUUAACAAGAGAUGAUGUAUUAAACACUGCUCGUCUCUUGGGGCUUCAGGCUUAAAAUUGACAGCAUCAGGAUUAUGAAUAUACCUGGUACCCUUGCCACAGGAAUUUCGUAUCAGUAGAAUAAUAUUGUGUCAAAACCUACUUCAGAUUGUCUCCUUACUCCAUCCCACAAAACAGAAGCUGUCCCUUUCUUUAGUAGGGGAAGCUUGUUAAAGAGUAGGGCUCUGAGUUAUCUGAUGUCAGGCCAUCUAAGUGUGGUAUCUGUCUUCCCCAAGUUAUAACAUGGGCCCAACAUGUUUUUUAAAGCUUUUGAUAUAAUUUUGGUCAAUCUACUUUAGAAUAAUAAUCUCCAUAUAAAUAGGAAA